AAGGAUCAUUUCUGAAGGCUUUUUGCCAAAACCACUGUGAACAGCUUAGACUUCGGUCUUUGCAAUUGCUUGGGUGUCGAAAGGCGCCCAAUCUUUAAAACUUUUAUAUUUGUUCUGAAACAAUGAAAAUUUAAAACUUUCAACAACGGAUCUCUUGGUUCUCGUAUCGAUGAAGAACGCAGCAAAGCGCGAUAGGUAAUGCGAAUUGCAGACGUGAGUCAUUGAAUUUUUGAACGCAUAUUGCGCUAUUAGUUUGUCUAAUAGCAUGCUUGUUGGAGUGAUAAUCUUCCUCUCAACCAUUUUUGGUAUGAGGUCUUGCUCCUUUUAGGAGUUAAAAUCAUGGAAGUGCACACGUUAAUUAACUCUGUGCAGUUAUACACUUUUCAUCCUCCAAUCAAGCAAGGUUACCCGCUGAACUUAAGCAUAUCAAUAAGCGGAGGAA
rnacentral:rRNA from 1 species